rnacentral:misc_RNA from 1 species
AAGUCGUAACAAGGUUUCCGUAGGUGAACCUGCGGAAGGAUCAUUACCGAGACGAGAUCGGGGGGGGGGAUUCCCCUCCCCGCUGAUCGUAUCACCACCCUCCUUGACACGCACCGACGUCCUUCCUCGGCGGGGUCCACCCGCCGGCGGAACGUUAGCAAACCCUUUCGUGCAUACCAGCAGUAUACCGUUCCGAUGAGAAAUUCAAUCGUUACAAUCUUCAACAAUGGAUCUCUUGGCUCUG